CUUCAACGAGCCGAGUCGGAGCGGCUCUUCGCGGUCCUGGCCGUAGGUGGCCAGCAGCGCCUGCGCCUC
rfam:Streptomyces yokosukanensis strain DSM 40224 genomic scaffold PRJNA299221_s007, whole genome shotgun sequence.